rnacentral:rRNA from 1 species
AACGAACGCUGGCGGCAUGCCUAACACAUGCAAGUCGAACGAGACCUUCGGGUCUAGUGGCGCACGGGUGCGUAACGCGUGGGAACCUGCCCUUAGGUUCAGAAUAACUCCCCGAAAGGGGUGCUAAUACCGGAUAAUGUCUUCGGACCAAAGAUUUAUCGCCUUUGGAUGGGCCCGCGUUGGAUUAGCUAGUUGGUAGGGUAAAAGCCUACCAAGGCGACGAUCCAUAGCUGGUCUGAGAGGAUGAUCAGCCACACUGGGACUGAGACACGGCCCAGACUCCUACGGGAGGCAGCAGUGGGGAAUAUUGGACAAUGGGCGAAAGCCUGAUCCAGCAAUGCCGCGUGAGUGAUGAAGGCCUUAGGGUUGUAAAGCUCUUUUACCCGGGAUGAUAAUGACAGUACCGGGAGAAUAAACUCCGGCUAACUCCGU